ACUCCUACGGGAGGCAGCAGUGGGGAAUAUUGCACAAUGGGCGCAAGCCUGAUGCAGCCAUGCCGCGUGUAUGAAGAAGGCCUUCGGGUUGUAAAGUACUUUCAGCAGUGAGGAAGGUGGGUAUGUUAAUAGCAUAUUCUAUUUGUACGUUAGCUGCAGAAGAAGCACCGGCUAACUCCGUGCCAGCAGCCGCGGUAAUAUGGAGGGUGCGAGCGUUAAUCGGAAUUACGUGGCGUAAAGCGCAUGCAGGUGUUUGUUAAGUCAGAUGUGAAAGCCCGGGCUCAACCUCGGAAUUGCAUUUGAAACUGGCAAACUAGAGUACUGUAGAGGGGGUAGAAUUUCGAGGUGUAGCGGUGAAAUGCGUAGAGAUCUGAA
rnacentral:rRNA from 1 species